AUGGCUGACGUCAGCUCGUGUCGUGAGAUGUUGGGUUAAGUCCCGCAACGAGCGCAACCCUCGUUUUUAGUUGCCAGCAUUAAGAUGGGCACUCUAGAGAGACUGCCGGUGACAAACCGGAGGAAGGUGGGGAUGACGUCAAGUCAGCAUGCCCCUUACGUCUUGGGCUACACACGUACUACAAUGCUCCGGACAAAGGGCAGCUACACAGCGAUGUGAUGCGAAUCUCAUAAACCGGAGCUCAGUUCAGAUCGAAGGCUGCAACUCGCCUUCGUGAAGGAGGAAUCGCUAGUAAUUGCAGGUCAGCAUACUGCAGUGAAUUCGUUCCCGGGCCUUGUACACACCGCCCGUCACACCAUGGAAGUUGGUCACGCCCGAAGUCGUUACCCCAACCUAUUGGAGGGGGAUGCCUAAGGUAGGACUGAUGACUGGGGUGAAGUCGUAACAAGGUAGCCGUACCGGAAGGUGUGGCUGGAUCACCUCCUUU
rnacentral:rRNA from 1 species